AUGGAAGAUAUGUAUGGGCUAACAUAUGUUGACGUGUCCUACAAUCACUUGGAAGGUCCAAUACCAAACAUCAAAGCAUUUCAAACUGCUUCGCGAGAAGCAUUGCAAGUGAACAAGGGGUUGUGUGGCAACUCAAGUUUCUUGCAAGUCUGCAACAAAGAAAGCCCAAAGAAAGACAAUAAACUUGUACUUCUUGUUAUCUUCCCUGUUCUCGGAGCACUUGCACUUCUAGCCUUUAUAAUUUCUGUUGUAACAAAAAGAAAGAAGAAGCAUCGGCGUCCAGAAGAAGAAAGCAAGAAUGAAGAAAUUUCUUUUUCAAUAUUAAAGUUUGAUGGAAAGACAAUGUUUGAAAAUCAUGAGGGCGACAGAAGAUUUUGAUCCCAUGUAUUGCAUAGGACGGGGAGAACAGGGAAGCGUUUACAAAGCAACUUUGUCAAAUGUUGCCACAGUAGCCGUGAAGAAACUUCAUCUGUUAUGCGCUGAUGAUGAAAACUUUCAUAAGGAAUUCUUGAAUGAAAUCAGGGCACUAACUGAGAUGCGACACCGAAAUAUUGUGAAGCUCUAUGGUUUUUGUUCACAUAGGCGACAAUCAUUUUUUGUGUAUGAGUAUUUUGAAAAGGGUAGUUUGGCCACAAUGUUGAGCAAGGAUGAAGAAGCUAAAGAAUUGGGAUGGAGCAAAAGGGUGACUAUUGUUAAAGGUGUAGCUCAUGCUCUAUGUUACAUGCACCAUGAUUGCUUGCCGCCAAUUGUGCACCGGGACAUAUCGAGCAAAAAUAUUUUGUUCGAUUCUGAAUAUGAGGCCUGUGUUUCAGACUUCGGCACUGUGAAGUUCUUGAACCCGGACUCAGCGAAUUGGAUGGCCCUUGCAUGCACAUAUGGAUAUGUUGCACCAGGUAAUAUUCUUGCUUAUACAAUGGUGGUAAAUGAGAAGUGUGAUGUAUUUAGCUUUGGAGUGGUGACACUGGAAAUAAUUAUGGGAAAACAUCCGGGAGAUCUUUUGUCAUCUUUAUCGUCCUCACCAACUGCAUUACCAGCUAUUGGAAUGCCAAUUUUGGAUGUUUUGGACCAACGCAUAUCCCCUCUAAUUGAUCAAGUUGCAGGGGAAGUGCUCUACCUUAAUUUUAUACACAUAAACAAAGCAAAAGCCAUGAUGAGAUCUUUAGCUCCAGCUUACUGCUUUAUCUUGUUCCUUCAUCUUCUUAGUUUUGCUUCUAUUAGUUCAGAAACUGAAGCAGAGGCUCUUCUGAAAUGGAAAGCCAGCUUUCUGAGUCAAACUAACCAGCUCAAGGAUUGGAGAGCAAAUACAAGUCCAUGCAAUUGGACUGGUAUUUUGUGCAAUGCUGCUGGAAGUGUCACCAACAUUAGCCUUGCUAAUACCACUAUACAAGGUACGCUGCACGAACUUUCGUUCAUAUCCUUUUCCAAUCUUACUUAUCUUAACCUAACCUUGAAUAAACUCUUCGGUGCCAUCCCACCACAAAUCAGUUCCCUCUCUAAACUCAUUUAUCUUGAUCUCUCCGAAAACCAGUUCACCGGGAGAAUCCCACCUGAAAUUGGUCUUCUAACUAAUCUUAGGGUUCUCUAUCUCUAUUUAAAUAGACUUUCUGGUAUCAUUCCUAGAGAGAUUGGGAAUUUGAAAUCUCUUCUGCGUCUAGAAUCAGGGGAGAAUAAUCUCAUUGGGUCAAUUCCAACAACACUUGGUGAUCUCAAAAACCUCACCUUUCUCCUUCUCUUUAGAAACAACCUGUCAGGCACCAUUCCUAAAGAGAUAGGGAACCUGAAAUCUCUUGUUAAGGUAGAAUUAGGUGAGAACCAACUCAAUGGUUCCAUUCCUACUUCAUUUGGCAACUUGAGCAACUUGGAAUACUUGAUCCUCCGAGACAACCAACUUUCCGGCUCUAUCCCCCAGGAGAUAGGAAAUCUUAUGAAGUUAGUUAAACUCGGUUUGGACACAAAUCAGUUUGUUGGCUAUUUGCCUCAAAACAUUUGCCAAGGCGGAUUACUCACUAAUUUUUCUGUAAACACCAACUAUUUGAUUGGCACAAUCCCAAAAAGCUUGAAAACAUGCACCAGCUUAUUCAGACUCCAUCUUAAUGGGAACCGAUUUACUGGCAACAUAUCUGACCUCUUUGGUGUUUAUCCUGAUCUUAAAUUUAUAGAUGUGAGCCACAAUGCAUUCUCUGGGGAGGUUUCAAAAAAUUGGGGACAGUCCCCAAAUUUAGUGACCCUCCGAAUGGCAGGAAACAAUCUUACUGGUUCUAUACCUUCUGAGAUUGGAAAUGCAACCCAACUUCAUGAACUUGAUUUUUCUUCCAAUGGUUUAGUUGGUACUAUUCCAAAGGAGUUAGGGAGACUGACUUCUUUGUUGAAGCUGAAGUUGGAUGAUAACCAACUUUCAGGUCGUGUCCCUAUAGAGUUGGGAUCAUUGACUGAUCUAGAAAAUCUUGAUCUAUCAAAAAACAAGUUCAAUGACUCCAUUCCAAGCUUUGUGGGAGACUUUCUCAAAUUAAACUACUUGAAUUUGAGCAACAAUGAGUUUAGUCAAGCAAUUCCGUUUCAGUUGGGAAAGUUAACUCAACUGUCCCAACUAGACUUGAGUCAUAAUACACUUGAAGAUAUGAUACCAUCAGAACUUAGCGGUAUGGAGAGUCUGGAGAACCUCAAUAUUUCCCACAAUAACCUUUCUGGUAUCAUUCCAAUAAGUUUCAAAGACAUGCUUGGGCUAACAUAUGUCGACGUCUCCUACAAUGACUUGGAAGGUGCACUUCCGAACAACAAAGCAUUUCAAGAUGCUAACCAAGAAGCAUUAGCAGGGAACAAAGGAUUGUGUGGAAACGUUCGAUUUUUGAAACCCUGCAAUAAACAAAAUGCAACUGAAGAUUUUGAUUCUAUGUAUUGCAUUGGGAAAGGAGGACAUGGAAAUGUCUACCGAGCAAGUUUGUCAUCUGCCAACACAGUAGCUGUGAAGAAAUUCCAUCUGCUAAGAAAUGAGGACAAGAAUUUUCAGAAGGAAUUCUUGAAUGAACUCAGGGCACUAACUGAGAUGCGACACCGAAACAUUGUGAAGCUCUUUGGUUUUUGUUCGCACCCACGACACUCGUUUUUGGUUUAUGAAUAUCUAGAAAGGGGUAGUUUGGCCACAAUGCUGAGCAAAGAUGAUGAAGCUAAGGAGCUGGAGUGGAGUAAAAGGUUAAAUAUCAUCAGAGGUGUUGCUCAUGCCUUGUGUUACAUGCACCACGAUUGCUUGCCACCAAUUGUACAUAGAGACAUAUCGAGCAAGAACAUUCUGCUAAAUUCGGAAUAUGAGGCAUGUGUUUCAGAUUUUGGCACGGCUAAGUUCUUAAAUCCAGACUCAGCUAACUGGACUGCCCUUGCAGGCACAUAUGGUUAUAUAGCCCCAGAGCUUGCUUAUACAAUGGAAGUGAAUGAGAAAUGUGAUGUUUAUAGCUUUGGAGUGGUAACACUGGAAAUAAUUAUGGGAAGGCAUCCAGGAGAUCUUCUCUUACCUUUACCAUCAGGAUCGUCAUCAGCAUUUGUGUUACCAGCCCAUCAAAUGCAUAUUGCCGAUGUUUUCGACCAACGCAUUUCUGCUCCUACUGAUGAAGUUGCCGGGAAGGUACUCUCUGUUAUGAAGAUAGCAUUUUCAUGCUUGAACUCCAGUCCGGAAUGUCGUCCUACAAUGAAACAAGUUUCUCAACAACUGGAAACUCAGAAGCUGCAUUUGUCAAAGCCAUUGUAUCUGAUAACAUGUGGUGAAUUGCUUACCCUCAAUGGUUUCACUACCUGAGAUCGAAGUUGAGAGUAAGGGAAUGAGCUAUUAGAUAAAUUCAAAUUGUAUGAAACACUAGCUCUUACCAGUGCAGGCUUUUCAUAGUAAUGAGCUCCAAAUUCACCUGCCA